CCGACAUCUAUUUUGCAAUGAGAUUAUUAUACGUGUGAUUGUUGUUGUGUUGCUGCUGUUGUUGUUGCUUUUUGUGGCUUUUUGUCAUCAUAUUACAUUAUUUGAGGUUUAAAGGGAUUGUGGAUAUUUUUGACGAGGUAAAAGUUAUCUCGUGGAAGUGGAGUGUGGAGAGAUUGAAAAUAGCCCCGUGUCUUUUUUACGAAUGGUUGUGGGAGCCCGGUAUUUGUUUCAAUAGUGGUUAGUGUUUCAGUUUUGGAGUGGGGCGCUGUUUUUGCUUUCCGUGUUUCCGUGUUUCUGUUUUUUAGUUCCUUUGCUGGGCUGUUUGUUUCUUUUUUUUUUCCUGGUUUGGCAGGCUGCCUCCCUUUUGGUUUUGAGGUGGGUGCUUUAGUUCUCCUUGAGGUGAAGCCCCUCCUCUGCUUGUACUUCUUGCUUGUUCUCUUUAGUUCUCCUUUAGUUCCUCCUGCUGUAUCUGUUAGUAAUUGGAAUUGGAGUUAGUUUUCAGCAGAGAAAAUCUGAGUUUGUAAUUGGCUGCCCUCAUGAGUUAAUUUUUAGGUAUUGUGCAAAG